rnacentral:rRNA from 1 species
AUGAGCGGGGCCGGCGCUGCGCUGGCCUCUUCGGCAUUGGACCUCCGCGGGGAGGACGGGAGGGCGGAAUGGCUGCGCUUCUACGAUCGGGUCGAGGCGCAGGUGGAGGCGCUGGCCGCCGACCGCGCGCAUCUGGAGGCGGCGAGGGGUGAGGGGGAGGAAGCCUGCAGGGUGAUACUUCCAGUGGACAAGGCCACGCUCGCCGAAGCCCAAGAGGGUGAUCUGGAGGAUGUCAGAGCUUGUAGAGGUCUUCUUGCCCUACCAAGCACUGACUCUAAGGAAGUUCAAGAUCGUCUAGAGCUUGGUGAAGACGCUGGGGAUCAUGAGCACAGUGUAAAAGCGUUGAGGGCAAACCUUAGAAAACUAAAGGGAGCUUUUGAGACCCUGAUGUCAAAGAGCGAUAAGGAUAUUUAUUCAGUAAAAGUUGUUCUUUUGAACCAGUUGAAGACAAUGGAAAAGGACAGCACGCUCUUUGAGAACAAGAAACUAGAGGCAGCACAAGCUACUGAAGAAGCGAAGAAGCUUCAGCAGAACGUACAGGCGCUGCAGGUCGCAACCCAAAACAAGGACAAUGAGAUUGGCAGACUCCAAGCAGAAUCUCUCGUGGCUCAACAGAAGCUACGUGAAAUGGAUUCCUUGCUGAAGGAGAAAAAUGAAAGUAUUGAAAAACUCCGUGCGGAAAAUAUUGGAUUACGUGCUGUAAAGGAUUUUGUUUGGAGCCAGUUCCAGAUAAAGGAGCAGGAGCUGCUGGACCACGCCAUCCUUCUGAAGAACAAGGAAGUGGCGGCAGCACAAGCUACUGCGCAAAAGCUAGUAAAGGAGAAUCGCACGAUGGGAGCAGAAGUUGUUGAUUAUGGAAACAAGUUAAUGAUUCUAGAGGAGAAGCUAAAGGAGACGCGCUCCUUGGUUAAGGAGAAAGAUGACGAAAUCCAAAAACUCAAAAAUCGCCAACCUGAGACCACGAGUCUGAAGCGCAAGUGCGCCUCUUCCCUGUCAAAUGAGACUAGUAAAAGGCGCAGGAGGGAUAUCAUUGGGAUGCAUAUAUCUUCUAUUUGGCGAUGCAGGUCCGGCAGACAGUGUUUUGGACGUCGCACAAUGCAAAUCUUUGUCAAGACCACAAAUAGCAGGACUUACACUCUUAAGGUCAAGAGUUCAAGUACGAUCAGGGAUGUUGAGGGCAGAAUCCGUGAUGUUGAUCACAGCCUAGACUGCUUUCGUCUCAUCUUUGCUGGGAAGAGGUUGGUGUAUGAGCGCACGCUGGCAGAUUACAACUUUAAGAAUUUGAGCACACUAGAACUUGACCCUCGCCUUCGUAUAUCUGUCAAGACGCUGACUGGCAAGAUCAUUGAUAUUGCUGUUUGGAGUUCAGAUACCAUCAAGCAUGUCAAGGUGAUGAUUCACGGUCAGGGUGUAAUGCCUUGGUAUGAGCAGCGCCUCAUCUUUGCCGGCAAGGAGCUGGAGGAUGGCCGCACCCUUGCAUAUUACAAAAUUGAGAAUUCAUGCACUCUCGAGCUUGUCCCUUGGCUCCAUAUCUAUGUCAAGACGCUGACCGGCAAGACCAUUAAUUUUGCGGUUUUGAGUUCAGACAAGAUUGAGGAUGUCAAGGCGAUGAUUUAUGGUCUGGAGGGCAUUCCUUUGUCUACGCAGCGCCUCAUCUUUGCCGGCAAGGAGCUCGAGGAUGGCUGCACCCUGGCGGGCUAUGGCAUUCAGACUUUCAGCACGCUUCACCUUGUCAUGCGCCUGAGAGGGGGUAGAGUGAUCCGCAUCAAGACGCGGACUGGCAACACCAUUUUCCUUUCAGCGGUUGGGAAUAACAUCACGAUUGAGGAUUUCAAGGCCAUGAUUCACAAGAAAGAGGGCAUUCCCCCGUCGCAGCAGCACCUCUUCAUUGCCGGGAAGCCGCUGGAGAACGACCGCACCCUGGGGAGCUACAUCAGCCAUGAUUCCGACAUCGACAUUGACCUUUUGUGUUGGCGCGCGCCGCUGCCUGGUCGGAUUGUGGACAGGGCGCGUAGGUUGCGGAAGAAGCAGGAGCUUGGGCACGGCUGUCUGUAA